AAACCUAUCGUUUCUUUUCUGAUUUUCUCCCUCUCCUCUCCUCUCCGAACCACAACAACCGCCACCAUCUUUAUCGUCCCCACCACCAUUCCAGCACCACCUCCAUUUCCUCCACCACCUCCUAAUGCACUAACUCCACCGAUCCCACUACCAAUUCCAGGUACACCUCUGAUACUUCCACUAAAUCCACCAACAGCAUAAUCACCAGCAGAUCGAUCGAUUUUCACUACAAAUCUUAAAUAUAGUCAUGAAUCGGCGAGAAACUAAUCCCGAGCAUCAAAAACAACAUUAGAUUCAUUUCGAUAUCAGCUGGAUUUGGCUUAAAUAACCCAAAAUUGAUGAUCUUAGUUUUUAAAGAAUUGUCCGUAUCAAUUGGAAAGAGAAGAUUCAAUCGUCAUCAAUAAUUGGAUCUGAAGAUUCAAUUGUCAAAGACAAAUCGGAAGAUAGUUUCAGCUGAUGGUGAAAAGAUCGAAAGGGAACGGAAUGGGAUUUUGGUGUCUUCUCUGGAAUCGAAGGCGUGGAAAAUCCAAACCCAAGAAUCUACGAAAUCGCACUUAAGAGAGCUGGAAACAUUCCUGCUUAUAUUGUGCUUAAUUGCAAAAGAGGCAUUAGUGUUUUCUAAGAUUACAGUUUUAAGUCUUCCAAGGAAGUUUGUUCGCAUUCGCUCAAUCUUUCAGGACCUCAAAAUGUGAAGCAGUCGGACAUGAUCUGAAGUUUCCUUACCAAUUAUCAAAGAACAAUUUGUUCCCGUUCAUCUGCAAGAUGGUGCCAAGGUAAAUUGGUAUAAACUCAUAUGCAUUUACCUGAUUUCAGUCACCUCAAUCAUAUUUGGUCAUAUUGGCACUUUUACGAAGUGAAAAGCAUGUCAUUUUGUCACAUUAUAUGUAGGAGAAGUCUUGUAGUUUCAUAGUUCUCCCUGCAGAUCCGUUUGGUAGCCUAUAUGGAACAGUUUUUCUAGUUUUCACAGUUGCGUCCAAAACCUUCUAGCAUCAUGAAAGGGGAUUCUAAAUAAUAUCAUUUUUAUUGGUGGAUCGACUGAUGGUCUUUUAGCUACUGAGUAUUCUUAGUGUAAUUAUAUUUCUUGCUGUAAUUUUACUCGGUAAUAUGUAUUCGAUUCUUUCUUUUGAUGAUUGUAUGAUUUAAGUUUGAAUGUUAGUAUAGCAGUCAGUUAGCUUGAUUGUUCGUGCCAUAGAUACGUACUUCGACUAAAAUUUGUCACCACUGAUUUCCUGAACGAUUUACUAAAAGUUAAUUGUGCUACUGUGGACGGUAUUUUUAUGUUUGGAACUCCUUGCAUACUUGAUUUACUAAAUUAUUAUGAAGUACGACUUCUACUGAUCUGUCAUAAACUAUUGGUUGCAUUAAUUAAUGAGAAUUGUUGCUGUGGUCACAAAUUAUAGGUGACGUAAUGUGUUUUGAGUAGUGGCUUUUGGAUGUGAUAAUGAACUGACAUGUACAACACUUGGUCUGUGUAAAAACCGUUAAUACAGCUCUUGCUUAGGUGAUUUAUAUGGGACUUUUCUGCAUUUGAAUUCAGUAAUGUGGCUGACAAAUUCUAGGGUCCUUAUGUUUUGACAUAUUAUUUUAGUUUACUCAAGUUCCUUUUAUGGAUCUCUGGACUUCAGUUAUUAUGGGGAUCAACAACUGUUGUUGAUCCCAUUUAUGGAUCAACUCCUGUUGU